GAUGAACGCUGGCGGCGUGCCUAAUACAUGCAAGUCGAGCGAAUGGAUUAAGAGCUUGCUCUUAUGAAGUUAGCGGCGGACGGGUGAGUAACACGUGGGUAACCUGCCCAUAAGACUGGGAUAACUCCGGGAAACCGGGGCUAAUACCGGAUAACAUUUUGAACAGCCUGGUUCGAAAUUGAAAGGCGGCUUCGGCUGUCACUUAUGGCUGGACCCGCGUCGCAUUAGCUAGUUGGUGAGGUAACGGCUCACCAAGGCAACGAUGCGUAGCCCACCUGAGAGGGUGAUCGGCCACACUGGGACUGAGACACGGCCCAGACUCCUACGGGAGGCAGCAGUAGGGAAUCUUCCGCAAUGGACGAAAGUCUGACGGAGCAACGCCGCGUGAGUGAUGAAGGCUUUCGGGUCGUAAAACUCUGUUGUUAGGGAAGAACAAGUGCUAGUUGAAUAAGCUGGCACCUUGACGGUACCUAACCAGAAAGCCACGGCUAACUACGUGCCAGCCGCCGCGGUAA
rnacentral:rRNA from 1 species